rnacentral:rRNA from 1 species
GAUGAACGCUGGCGGCGUGCCUAAUACAUGCAAGUCGAGCGAACAGACGAGGAGCUUGCUCCUCUGACGUUAGCGGCGGACGGGUGAGUAACACGUGGAUAACCUACCUAUAAGACUGGGAUAACUUCGGGAAACCGGAGCUAAUACCGGAUAAUAUAUUGAACCGCAUGGUUCAAUAGUGAAAGACGGUUUUGCUGUCACUUAUAGAUGGAUCCGCGCCGCAUUAGCUAGUUGGUAAGGUAACGGCUUACCAAGGCAACGAUGCGUAGCCGACCUGAGAGGGUGAACGGCCGCACUGGAACUGGGACACGGUCCAGACUCCUACGGGAGGCAGCCGUAGGGAAUCUGCCGCAAUGGGCGAAAGCCUGACGGAGCAACGCCGCGUGAGUGAUGAAGGUCGUCGGAUCGUAAAACUCUGUUAUUAGGGAAGAACAAAUGUGUAAGUAACUAUGCACGUCUUGACGGUACCUAAUCAGAAAGCCACGGCUAACUACGUG